UUUAAGAAGUGUUUUUUGUAAAUUCAAGAGUGAGUUUUCGAAAAAAGAUAGAAGAGGGUAUUUCUCCUUUAAGAGUGUGCUUUUGUAUAAGAGAAUGUAAUUCUCUAUAAGAGUGUGGCUAUCUUUAAAGGUGCCGGGGAAGGUUUUCCGGUUUAUCCCGGAGGGCUUGUAGCUCAGUUGGUUAGAGCGCGCGCUUGAUAAGCGUGAGGUCGGAGGUUCAAGUCCUCCCAGGCCCACCAAUUUAGAUUUGUUUAACCUACUGUUGAUGGUUCUCUCCUUCAUGAAUAAAAUGUUUGAGGGGGGAAAGAGUCUCGUAAAAGCCUUGAAUGCUUAAUAGGAGCCGAGGUUUUUUAUAGAAUAUUUGUAGUGUAUAUUAUGAGAUUUUACUAAAGAUGUGAGACUAUCAAGAAACUUGAUCAGUUUCGAUUUAAGGGUUAGGUUAGCACUUUCUUUUAGGGGCCGUAGCUCAGCUGGGAGAGCACCUGCUUUGCAAGCAGGGGGUC
rnacentral:misc_RNA from 1 species